UCUCACUCUCUGGAUCGGUCCCUCCCUCCUCUCUCUAAGGCUUCUGCCCUUUCCCCCUGCCUCCCUUGUCUCCACCCGCCUAGAUCACUGUCUCACAGUCAUUCUGUGGAACUUCCUCUGUGUCUCUCACUGGAGCCGCCUAACUUCCUCUCCCACCUCCCUUCAUCAAGGAGCAGUCUCAUGCCCAGGAGCUAGAAAUGUAGGCUUUGCCGGCAUUGGUUGAGCUGUGCUGGGCCCUAGGCAGCGAUGACUCAAACUUGACCCUUAACCCCCAGGCAGGUGGGGUUGGGGAGAGGCCUCGGGAUGGCAAGGACCAGGGUCUGCGGCCAAGCCUGUGGGUCCUGUCUCCCUCUAGGAUGCCCCUGGGACACUGGUACCCAUGGAUGCACUGGGUGACUUGAGGUGCUUGCUGCAGAGGCAUCGGGGGUCUCUGGCCAGAGGUGACAUCUGAAGCAAUCGGGAUCCUGUUUGGUUUUGCCACAUCCGACCUGCCGCCCAGCUGGGGCAAGACAGCCACGCGCGGCGGAUGCACCGGCCCUGAACUCUUUCUCGAGUAGUCCCCAGAGAUUUCAGGAAGAGAGAGAAGAGGUAAAGAGACCAGAAACAAAGUCUUCUGCAAGCAAAGAACUGCAACAGGCCCCAGCUGUUAGGUUUGAGGGGCGUAUGGGGCAGGCGACUGAACUGCAGAGUUGGAGCCAGAGGUACCAUUGCUGACCCCUGAGCCCAGGAGCCUUGAGAAUACUGACAGUGUUAAUAAUAACUGCAAUCAUCCAACAUAUGAUGCUAGAAUAACUGGACAUCUGUGUGCAAAAAUAUUAAACCUAUACCUUGCACCUUA
rnacentral:lncRNA from 1 species